GCUAGUCUAAUCAAAUGUAGUUAUCACCGAAUGUUGAGCUUAAUCAGUGGACCUCUACGACAUUAAUGGAGAUGAAUUCCCACUCCCCUCACACAUUUCUGUAAAAUCCGACCCACAUUUAUUCAAAUUCAUUCCGUAGCUGCUCGGAAUUGUUUGACCUCUCACUCUCGUUAAUGGGAAACAACAACUCAGAGCUACCGCCGGAGCAAUGUUGAAGUUUUUCCCUCCAAAAAUCAAGCCUUUCUUCAACCAGAA
rnacentral:lncRNA from 1 species